GUAGGGAAUAUUGGUCAAUGGACGAAAGUCUGAACCAGCCAUUCCGCGUGCAGGAAGAAGAUUCUAUGGAUUGUAAACUGCUUUUAGCAGAGAAGAAACGCCUUCAUUGAUGAGGGUUUGACGGUAUCUGCGGAAUAAGCACCGGCUAACUCCGUGCCAGCAGCCGCGGUAAUACGGGGGGUGCAAGCGUUAUCCGGAAUCACUGGGUUUAAAGGGUGCGUAGGCGGGAAAUUAAGUCAGUGGUGAAAGUCUGUUGCUUAACGAUAGAAUUGCCGUUGAUACUGAUUUUCUUGAAUUGGGUUGAGGUUAGCGGAAUGUGACAUGUAGCGGUGAAAUGCAUAGAUAUGUCAUGGAACACCAAUUGCGAAGGCAGCUAGCUGGGCCUUGAUUGACGCUGAGGCACGAAAGCGUGGGUAGCGAACAGGAUUAGAAACCCCGGUAGUCC
rnacentral:rRNA from 1 species